CGUACAUCUUGUCUCGUUUAUCGCGUUUAUCGUUUUAUAAUUAGGGUAAAGUUUCUUAUUUCAUCAACUGGCGCUGUCUGUGGGAAAUUGAGCUUAAGGCGUGAGUUUCGAGGAACAUUCUUCUCGAUUUUCAGAAUUUCCAGAUUCGGAUUUACUGUUCAUCGAAUAAAGGGAGGAGGAUUACUGUUCAUCAAGGAAAAUUUGGGAAAUUAGGGAUCUGGUACUGUUCAUCGGGAGAUUACUGUUCAUCGAAAAUUUGGGAAAUUAGGGAUAUGGUUACUGUUCAUCGAGAAAAAAAAGGGGAGGGAGGAAAGAAUUCCACAAAAAUCGAGUCUUAACUGUUCCAGAAUCAAGGGCCGAGAUUAUCUCUCCCUGCCGUCCGAUCUCUUACCCAGAAGCCCACCGCUGCGACUCCAAGAUUCAGCGAAUUCCACCAUGCCGAGAAGAAAGACAAAAAAAGGGGAAGAUAGGGAUUCCGAUUUCAGGGCUUAUUUCGCGGCAUCUUGCCAGAAAUUCCUGACGACAGAGCCACCUUCCUGGCGAGCAACUUUCGGCAGCAAUUGCUACCUCAGAAUUUCGACGUACGUCGCCGCUAAGCACGGGGAUGGCCUCCUUCUCUCAGAAUCGGGGUUUGGUUCCAUAUCGGAUCUAGUCCUCUCUCUGUUGUCGCUCUCUCUCUCUUGCACACAAACAUAGAUCGGGUCUCCUUCAAUUCCAAUUUUCACCUGGCCGAAGCCAACCACUGUGACUCAUAGCUCAUGAGUGCUCAAGGCGUUUUCUCCCGGAGCCGCAACUCAGUCAGGCAGCCCGCCUAUUCGGCAUGGUCAUUGAUUCACCUAUCCAACGAACAAUAAUAGCUCGCAGACCAUGGGCAGAGGGAAACCCCCCCCCCCCCAUUUUUCUCAAUUAAUAUGUAUUCUUCUAUUGUUAUGUGCACGUCUGGGUUAAUCUUGUGUUUCGAUUGUCUUAAUUAUGGCUCAAUCGAAUCCUCAGAAAUGCUACUCGUGGAGACCCUGCGCAGCCAGCUCGGCCAUCAUAAUCAAAUUCCCAGCAAAGACAUCGAGACAGCUCAGCUGCGCCGCCAGCUCUAUCGUCCUGACCAAGCUCCUGGUGAAGAUACCGGGGCAGCGCAGCUACCCAUUCAACACUGAAGUGUCACUCAAGGAUUGAGAAUGACAUUUUGCUUCCAGGGAAGCUCGCCCGAAAAGUCUAUACUAAUCACUACUUGCUAUCAAUAACGAAUUGCGGGAAAGAGAAUCAAGGCUAAGUCUUCGAUUCCUUUGCUCUAACUCGAAUAUUACGAAACGAGAUUAACUUUGAUUAACUUUGAUUGAGAGUCUCAUAGCAUUAUCAACUAUUGGGGCUGACGACAUUAUGAUUCUUGCUGUGAUUCAUAGUGCGAUUAUAUGAAAGGCUAAUAAACUUAGUUAUCAGAUAUUGUGAUUGCUUCAUACUCAGCUAUGAGAAUUUCAGUUUUGAUGUGGCCACUUUACUCAUUUACUUAUUUGUUCAUUUAUUGUUUCUUUAAAAUUGGGUCCUGAAAGGUGUCAAUGUUGGAUAACAUGUGCCCUCCGUUGUUGUGAUUUUUACUUUAGUUCCAGGGUUGAUCUCAUUGCGAUUCUGCUCUGAUUUGGGAUGGAUAGUGGGAAUAAUUUCGCCAUUGUGACUCUGUUUUCAAGUUAAUGCAUUACAACAUUGAUUCAAUGUGUAGGGGACUUCAGCGCUGAUAUGGUUGCCAAGGACCUGGACUAAAGAUGAAAUCUGUGGGUAACCUUCGAGAGCAGCGCAGGAAGGUGAUUGUCGGGGAAAAGGAAGAUUCAGUAUUGCUGCUCAGCCCGGGAAGAAAUUCUCAAUAUUCACCCUUCUCCUCCGUUGUCAAGCUGCGCAGCCAGCUCCGGUCCUCCCUCUCCUCUGAUGUUAAGCUGCGCAGCCAGCUCGGGCGCGCUCUUUUCCUCUACGGUUACUCAGCUGCGCAGCCAGCUCGGGCACGCUCUUAUCCUCUAUGGUUACUCAGCUGCGCAGCCAGCUCGGGCGCGCUCUUAUCCUCUACGGUUACUCAGCUGCGCAGCCAGCUCUAGCACGCUCAUUUUAUUUCCAAUUAUGUUCUGAUCUUGCUCUGCUUCUUGUGAUUUGCUUGAGACUGCUGCUGCUAGGACUAAUCGACAUAUGAACAUUUGCAUUUCUUGUUCUUUGCCUUCUUGAUCAUGUUUCGAAAUCAGUCUACUAUGAUUGAUUGUUUCUAAGGAAAAUCCAGAUGCUAUAAGUAUAUGACAAUUUUUCUUGAUGUCUUUUGAAUUCACAUGUUGAGUAAACUACCAUUUCUAAUCUUGGAUUCGCAUGUUGGCAUUUGUUUGCUUUAAACUAGAUGAAGUUACAUAUACUUCCCAAGUAGCAUGUACAAAGUAUUCAUGCAUGAAUUACUUGAUCCCAUAUUGGAUUGUUAUGGGCGCAUCAAGGGGCCGAUUAUUGGUUCGGUUAUGGGAACACUUGAAAAAUCAUUAACACAACGUGAGACUUCGCCUAAGUUUGACUGAUGAACUGCGGUUAUUAUUGCAUAGAUUUCAGGAUUAAUAGUGUAUUUUCAUUGCGACUUGAUUGAUUCUAAGAAUGGGACAUAGCACGAUACGAGUCACAUUGUUGAAAAGGCUUGCACUACAUUCAAUUUCCUAUGAAGUUGAACUUGAUCACGUUAUUCGAACUCAAUAUGUUUCAUGUUGAACUGAAUCCUCAAAAUUUUGUUUGCUUGUCUUGCUAAUCUCUUGUGAUUCUGCUAUUUUUGGGCGCGAGGGAUCAGUGGAUAACACCAUCCACAACUGGACCAUUGACGAGAAUUCAAGGUGCUCAACGGAGCUUGCCGUCUCCAAAGUCUCCCCUGCUCCGUGGAGCUUCGAUGGGUACUCGCUAGUCAGGUGCUUCAAACCAGAUUUGCAGCAAGGGUCCAGAGUUGAUAGAGCUUCAAUAGAGUUGCCUGCUCAUUGCCAUCAGCUUCAGUUCUUAGCAAUGAAUCAUCGGGCCGCCUCUCUCCUUUGUUCUUGACCAGCCAGCGUAGGACAGAAGACAGUCCUCAAUUUUUGGUUAUGUACUUCUUCAAGCCUGAGUAACUAGUUUUGCUCGGGGAUGGAAUAUUACUGCUGUCGCUUGUUAAGCUUUGCAUUGCGUCUCUGAUAUGUUCUUGUUGUGUAUCUUAUAUCUAUUGUUGGGGAUUCUGGGCUGGAUGCUGUGAAGUUGCUAUUUUUAUCAGAGUGGAAUAUAUUCCAGUCAUUAUCUUGACCUGCACAGAUUACAUUUGGAUUGGUUGGCAUGCACUCUACAUAGGCUUCUGUCUACCUUUCAUUUUUUUUAGCAUCCCUUGCUGAUUGUUGUUGCAAGCUGACUUGCUGGAAGAAGUGAAUAUGUCGACAGGACAUGACAAUGGCUUUCUUUCGUGUUAUCUGCUCUUCUCAGCUUUUGAUUUGCAGCCCUAGUCAAGUUAUAUAAGUUCUUUUGGUGUCUUCGUCUCCAAUGCUUUUUGAAUUUAUAAUUACUGUUGCUUAUGAAAUGAACAGGGAAGGCGAGGGAUAGUUCAUCAGCUGCGCCGCUGCGCUGAUGCAGCGCAGGGAGAGCGAGGGAUAGUUCAUCAGCUGCUGCUGCGCUGAUGCAACGCAGGGAGGGCGAGAGACAGUUCAUCAGCUGCGCCGCUGCGCUGAUGCAGCGCAGGAAGGGCGAGGGAUAGUUCAUCAACUAUGCCGCUGCGCUGAUGCAGCACUCCUGCUCAGCCCUAUAAGUUUUAUUAAAAUUUUGAUACGAAGAAAAUUUCCGGUAUGACAAGAAGACUAAGCACUACUGCUCCGCUCGGGAAGAAGUGUCCUUUGAUUAUGAUUUUCCGGGGGAUCGAGCUUGAUUACAUUACUUGACAUCCAUUCCUUAAUAUUCGAAUUUGUAGUUUAACUAUCAAAUUUGUUGUUCCUUUUAUGGUACCUGCACUGGAAAUAUACACACAUAUAUGUACAGAAUUUUGAACUCAACUUUGCUAUGAUCUUCUUCUAAUUUUGGGACCAAUAUUGCUAGACUUUACUACGAUGCGGCGGUAAUCUCGGGAGUCGGGACGGAUGCUAUAACUUUGUUAUGAUCUUAAGACUGAUUCGGUUCUAAUUUUUGCAAACUCAGUCCUUUCUAGCUGCAUUGUCAUGAUCAAUCUGUUUGGGGGUCAUUUGGAGAUUAAUUAAAUUAGUUCUGUCCGGAGUAUCUGCCUUCUUUGUUAACGAGUUUACAGCCCUGGGAAGGGCUCUCAUAUGUUACUAAUACUUUUGCUUAAGAAUUCCUACGGCGCAGGUUAAACAUAUUUUGGGAAAACAUUUGAACAAAUGUGAUACACGCUAUAUUACAACACGGGAAACCCACUAAAUAGUGAUGAUACAGUUACAGGGCUGCAGGGCUAAAAAACACUUGGACCCUACUCGGGAGAGCAGCACAGCGCUGACUCUAUACCGCAUACCACUGGUUGAACACGAAGAAGACAUAGUUCAACCAGACUAGGGGAGGAAUAGCUGAUGAGGACUAGAAUACUCAUCAGCGCUGUUUAAUUGAAGACCUUAGAUAAUAAAGGGACUCGCCAGCGCAGACUACGGGAUUUGGCGGCGCAGAUUAAGGGACUCGCCAGCGCAGACUACGGGACUUGGCGGCGCAAAUUACCCAGAUUACUCGGCAGCGCAGAUUAAGGGACUCGCCAGCGCAGACUACGGGACUUGGCGGCGCAGACUACCCAGGUUACUCGGCAGCAAAGACUAGCCUGCGCAGCUCAAGGGAGCUACUCAACAUGAGCAACGAAGAACAUCGCAAAUGGAUCAAGUCAAAACUAAAGUGUAUUAAGGCAUUAAAGGGCCUAAAUCCAAUUAUUAGUGUUCAUGGGCCUAGGGCCUGUAGGGCUCACUCUCACAUCUAUAAAUAGAAGGUUAGCAAGCAUUAAAGGCAUCAUGAUUGUUCACUUGUAAUAUGUAAUUCUCUAAAAGUAUAGUGAAAACAACAAAGAACUCCCGUGGA